CUCUCGGCGCUCUUCGGCUCGGAGCCUGGCGGCUCAGCGCGCUCCCGGCUGCACGUGCUGCCCCCGCCGCCGCCCACGCCAGACAAAGCGGGGCCCUCCCGGGCGUGUUUCCUAGGCGCCCCCUUCCCUCGAUGAACCCUUUGAUUUCUUCCUUCUUCUCUCUCACUUCGUUCCAGCCCCCUCAACUGCCUCCUGGAGCGCCUUUUUUGUGUGCUCGCCAUCUCACGUUUGGCCCUCUCUCCAAAGCUCUGCCUUCACGAACGCCUCCAUUUGACCUUCCCCCUCCGCCACUCUCUGGUCUCCUUUGGUAGCUUUAUCAUUACAUUUGAUGGAAGGGCGACUCUCCCCUCUCCUAUUUUCAGCUCCACAUUACCUUUUGUAUUGUCCUCUCCCCUUCCUAUUGGCAUCUUCUUUCUGUCCUUGCCCUUUUCAAGACUCUUCCAGAAACUCUCUUGAUGUCUCUGCCUCUUUUCACGGUUUCCUUUCCACUUUUUCUUUUCUCUCUGGGCUGUGGGACAGCAGAAGGGAGAUUGCAAAUGGCUACCUAGAUUGAGUGCCCCUUUUACCUCACUGACGCCAUCCUUUUUUCUGUCACCUUGAGGUCACAUUAUUUGGGCACCUUGAUGAGGCUUUGGGGAUUCUACUGCCGUUGCUGCCAUUAGCAGUCUCUUUGCUUGGAAGCUUAAAUGAAGGAAAUUUCUGGGAACUGGUCAAAGACUCCUGAAAUGCACCUUGAGGACUAAACAUCUCUCUCCCUCCAUCUCUGCUUGGUUACUCUGGUUUGUUUCGAACACCGGCUGCUUCUUCCCACUUCUUGACUCCCUGCACCCCUACCCGCCCCCCCAGCAAUCACAUUGUUCAUCCCUUUGGCACCAGCCCUAGAGAGGAAAGGGUAGGUCCUCCUCUCCAGGAAGGAAGGUGGGGCAGAGUAGCUCCCGCAGGAAGGGAAGGAAAAAGGAGGGAAGGAAGGAAGUGGCCAACAGAAGGUGGAAUCCGGUGGGAGGACUUUUCAUUGUUUGAACGUCUUUCCUUUUUAGCUCUGCAAAGUCAAGCCCAAGGCCAUCUCACCAAGGUUCUGCUGCCAUCUCCCAGAACCCCAGCUAGGACUCCCUUGCCAGAGGCUGGAGGGGGCUGAGGUUUUGGUGGACAUAUUUAAGUGAAGUGGGCAGAGUUUCAUGUAUGCUGCAAAUUGUAAGCACUUACAUUUUUAAUGUAUCCAUCUUCUGUUUCUUUUCUGUCCAACAAAGUCAGCUUUUAUCUUCCCUUUUCUCCAGGGGGAAAAAAAAAAAGAAAAACUCCAGGGUAGAAUUAUGCCUCAGGUAAGGAAAAUGUAUCUACCAUUUCCUGAGGACCUUCUACCUGUGAAUCUGCUCUUAUGUUCUGUAAUACUUUACAUUUGCAUAGGGCUUUUUUCCCUGAGUUUUAAAGGGAAAGGCUGAGUUUUAAAGUUAGUGGGUAAAAGGAACCAAGUAGGGUUGCGAUAAGGGUUGAGAUGAAGUAGUGGAAAUGGGAGCUCUUUAAAACUAAAUACUCAUGAAUACUGCUCUCCAAUAUUUCCCCACCUUUUUUGUAGCCUAGGCUUAGGGCCAAAUGCAAGCCCCAAGAACACAGGCAAGGAAGUGCUUUUGUCCUUUCUAGGCAUGUGAUCCAGUACCAAAGAUGCUUAGUUAUGAACGAAGAGAAGUUUGUGGUAUGACUAUUCUUUUGCAUAGUGUAUCUUUGCAUCUCCAUUCACUUAAUACCCGAAUACCUAGAAAACUGCCAGCCAGGCUUUGGUUCAUUGUCAGUGUCUUGUUCCUUGAAAGCCCUAGAAGGACAAAAAAAUUAGCUAUGCUUUGGAAGACUUUGUCUGAAACCUACACUAGGUUUCAGACAAGGUCAUCCAACCUUCUGGAUUAGUUAACUGUGUCCUGAACACUGAGCAGAGGCCAGAGGGAGUGGGGUUUUGUUUUUCUCAUCCUGGGGAAGCUCAUCCUUGUGCUCUGCAAGUGUGUGCUCUGGGGAGAGAGUGUUAUCAACACUUCCAUGGUGUGGGAUGGGGUGGGGGUCAGGAAGGGGGCCAACAACUUUAGAAGGCUUUCUUUUGUUUUCUGUUUUAAGUUGCUGUCUUGGUGAUGGGAAGAUAUGAAAGGGUGGACACCUGGCUGUUGGAGUUGGGACAAGUAUGAGCAGAGCUGUGGGGCUUGGCUUCCUUUCCUACUGGCUCAUUUCCCCGGGGAGGGGAAGAUAGUGGUCUAGAGGGAAUUUGCUAUCCCUUUCAAUCAGCAAACGGACCUGCAAGCCAGUUUGCCUGGGCACUUAGGGCACUGAGUUUGGGGCACCUCAGGGAGCUUAUACUCUCCCAGAAAACACAAGCCCUGCAAACAGUUCUCUGGUCAUUGUGUGGAGCAGGUGUGGGAUGCAGAGGUAGGGCAGAUUCCCCGUAAAUAGAAGACAGGAUUUUCUCAUAAACAGAGGUCUCAACUAUGAGGGGGAGCUGGGCUUCCUUAGGCAUUCCUAGUUAUGGAGAUGGUCGAGGAGCCUGGGCUGGAAGUUAGCCUGUCAGAAAUUCUGCAGCGUUGUGUUUCUGUGCUGGGUAGGGGUGAACUGAUGGCCCACAUGGUCCCGUCUGACUUCAAGAUUCUGCAAUUUUGAAAUAUACUAAUGAUCCUAGGCAGCAUGUGAUGAAUAGCUUGAGCUUUACUAGGGAUUCCAUUCAUCAAAUAUUUAUUGAGUGUGUACUUUGUACUGCAGCUCUGCUAGACGCUGUAGGAGAUUCAGAGGUAUGAACAAUAGGGUUUAAGAUCUUUGCAGAGGCCGCUAACACUUGGAAUACAGUGAGGCAGGAAGGGGGUUCCAGGCCAGAAUGAGUGGUCCUGCCCCACAUUACCACCCCAUCAAAACCAGACAGUCAGCAUUCUCUUAACACCAGUGCCCUGUGAUUUGUUUCUUCCUGAGAUGCUGGUUUCAAAGAUUUCCAGGGACUUUGAUCUGCAGGAUGGGGGCAGAAGAGAGAAACCGUGUUAAUCCAGAGAGAAAGGCAGAGCGUGUGGGGUUGUGUCUCUAAGGGUGAACGCUGAGUGAGGAUAGAGUCCCUCCUGUCAGGAUGUGCCAGGAUGGGGCAGGCAUGAGAACCGGGAAGAAAAUGAGGUGGAAAUGAAUGGGCCCCUGUAGGAGGAGGUAAUGAGGUGAAUCAGAAAAAUCUGUCACUGAGAUCCAGGAAGCGACUGGGAGGUUUACUCUCUCUUGGUCCUUUUAAAGAUGAGAUGUGUCAAUUUGAGAACCUGGACUCAUGAAGACAGAUCUACCAGGCGCCAGGGAUGGAGCGGGUGGGAGCUUGCUGUAGCUGCUGUGCAAAAUGGUAAGAUCCCCAUACUUGGGCAGCCUGGAAUUGGCCCUGGGGCCCAUCUCUCGUUUACCAUCUUUGGCAAAAGGAGUCCUGCUGAACCCCAAGAACUCCUUCCCUGGCCAGUGCUCAGUGCCCCCAUCCCCAUCAGCAGCCCCCUGGGAAGAGUCCAGGUAUCUGUAGGGACUCUCAGGACUUGUAAGCCAGAGAGAGCUGUGGGGAGGGGGUGGAGGUGACCACUGCAGAAUGGUGAAUGUCUGGGGAAAUGAAUGUGUCCCUUUCAAGGAUUCUGAUUGGCUCAGUUGUUCAGGGGAGCAACUCAGGAAUCAGUUUCAUUAGACUCCUUAGCAUCUUCAGGGAUGCAAACCUCUGCUUUGUUGGUUUAUGUCUGUGUGUGUCCUGGAAUAACCUCCCUCUACCACAGCUGUGGACACUCUCAGAAUCCUAUGCCCAGAAUGUCCUUCAGGGGAUCAUUUCUUGUAGCUUGGGAAGGACCUGGGUGUGAUUUGAAGGGUCUCAGGAGGAGGGGCAGGCACUCACAUGCCCCUAACCAUGUCUCCUACUAGCCUGUAGCUUCUUUGGGGACAUUGGUCUAGUUUUGAGGCAUGAUUUUGGGUACCCAUUGAAAUGCAAAUGCUGCCUCUGCACUCCUGAUGACUGUGUGCUGUAAGUUGCAGAGCAGCAGGCACAGAAAAGGGCCACCCAGCACAGACCAAGAGCCUGAAGGAAUGGGAUCUGGGACCAGGGAAUGAUGGGGAUGGGGACAGGUCCAGGGAGGAAAAAAACAAAUAAACAUGGGGGUUAGGGUUAGAAGCCUUCUUUGCUGUCUGCGCUUCAUCUCUGGUGAGCUUGAAGGACUCUGGAGCUGCCCCCGGGUCCUGGCUUGCAGGAUAGAGGUGCUCAGCCAUCUCUGAACCAUAGGGCCUGUGGACCUGACUCUGUGGCCUGGGAUAUCUGGGAACCUCCGUGAGGUAGAUGGGGGCUGGAGUGAGAUUUUAUUCUACCUUGAAUAUGAGAAUAGGAAGGCUACUUCUGGGAGUUUUGCUCCUGUCUGCAUUCAGAUCACCUCAGCUUUCUUUGCUUUGAAGAAUGAACAGAAGCCAGGGGCUCCAUUUGAUAAGGGCUCUGCGGGGGAAUUGUGGGAUGUGGUUGUGAGCUGCAGGGAGCCCUUCUCCUGCCCAGAUGAUGGAUGUGACAACCCUCUGCAAGAGAGGCAGCCAGAUGCCAGUUGCUUUUCUGGUGUUAGCUCUCACUGGUGGGGUUCAGCUAGAAAGCCCUGGCAGGUAUCAUAUGCAAACCAAAUGAGGGCCAGAGGCACCUGGCCUGAACCCAGGGUCCUCAAUGCCAGACACCUGGGAGUUCCCCUGCAAAGGGUAAGGCAGUGGAGGGGAGGGGCUGAGCUGGAAGCUGAAAGAGAUGGGGCAGAGGAUGGACUCUUCAGCCCCAGAGGAACUGGUCUUAAGCCUGUUGCACUAGUCAGAGUGACCAAGAGGGA
rnacentral:lncRNA from 1 species